rnacentral:rRNA from 1 species
AGAGUUUGAUCCUGGCUCAGGACGAACGCUGGCGGCACGCUUAACACAUGCAAGUCGAACGAGAGAAGAGGAGCUUGCUUUUCUGAUCUAGUGGCGGACGGGUGAGUAACACGUGAGCAAUCUGCCUUUCAGAGGGGGAUACCGAUUGGAAACGAUCGUUAAUACCGCAUAACAUAAUUGAACCGCAUGAUUUGAUUAUCAAAGAUUUAUCGCUGAAAGAUGAGCUCGCGUCUGAUUAGCUAGUUGGUAAGGUAACGGCUUACCAAGGCGACGAUCAGUAGCCGGACUGAGAGGUUGAUCGGCCACAUUGGGACUGAGACACGGCCCAGACUCCUACGGGAGGCAGCAGUGGGGAAUAUUGCACAAUGGAGGAAACUCUGAUGCAGCGAUGCCGCGUGAGGGAAGAAGGUUUUAGGAUUGUAAACCUCUGUCUUCAGGGACGAAAAAAGACGGUACCUGAGGAGGAAGCUCCGGCUAACUACGUGCCAGCAGCCGCGGUAAUACGUAGGGAGCGAGCGUUGUCCGGAAUUACUGGGUGUAAAGGGAGCGUAGGCGGGAUCGCAAGUCAGAUGUGAAAGCUAUGGGCUUAACCCAUAAACUGCAUUUGAAACUGUGGUUCUUGAGUGAAGUAGAGGUAAGCGGAAUUCCUAGUGUAGCGGUGAAAUGCGUAGAUAUUAGGAGGAACAUCAGUGGCGAAGGCGGCUUACUGGGCUUUAACUGACGCUGAGGCUCGAAAGCGUGGGGAGCAAACAGGAUUAGAUACCCUGGUAGUCCACGCCGUAAACGAUGAUUACUAGGUGUGGGGGGACUGACCCCUUCCGUGCCGCAGCAAACGCAAUAAGUAAUCCACCUGGGGAGUACGACCGCAAGGUUGAAACUCAAAGGAAUUGACGGGGGCCCGCACAAGCAGUGGAGUAUGUGGAUUAAUUCGAAGCAACGCGAAGAACCUUACCAGGUCUUGACAUCGUAUGCAUAGCUCAGAGAUGAGUGAAAUCUCUUCGGAGACAUAUAGACAGGUGGUGCAUGGUUGUCGUCAGCUCGUGUCGUGAGAUGUUGGGUUAAGUCCCGCAACGAGCGCAACCCUUACUGUUAGUUGCUACGCAAGAGCACUCUAGCAGGACUGCCGUUGACAAAACGGAGGAAGGUGGGGAUGACGUCAAAUCAUCAUGCCCCUUAUGACCUGGGCCUCACACGUACUACAAUGGCUGUCAACAGAGGGAAGCAAAGCCGCGAGGUGGAGCGAACCCCUAAAAGCAGUCUUAGUUCGGAUUGUAGGCUGCAACCCGCCUACAUGAAGUCGGAAUUGCUAGUAAUCGCAGAUCAGCAUGCUGCGGUGAGUACGUUCCCGGGCCUUGUACACACCGCCCGUCACGCCAUGGGAGUCGGUAACACCCGAAGCCUGUAGUCUAACCGCAAGGAGGACGCAGUCGAAGGUGGGAUUGAUGACUGGGGUGAAGUCGUAACAAGGUA